UUGAUGAAAGGAGUAAUCCGCUUUGAGAUGGACCCGCGGCGCAUCUAGCUAGCUCUGGUGGGGUAACGGCCUACCAAGGCAACGACUGCGUAGCCGACCUGAGAGGGUGAUCGGCCACUUGGAACUGAGAACGGUCCAGACUCCUACGGGAGGCAGCAGUGGGGAAUAUUGCACAAUGGGCGAAAGCCUGAUGCAGCAACGCCGCGUGAGUGAUGAAGGUCUUCGGAUUGUAAAGCUCUGUCUUCUGGGACGACAAUGACGGUACCAGAGGAGGAAGCCACGGCUAACUACGUGCCAGCAGCCGCGGUAAUACUAGGUGGCAAGCGUUGUCCGGAUUUACUGGGCGUAAAGGGUGCGCAGCGGAUAUUUAAGUGGAUGUGAAAUCCCCGGGCUUACCUGGG
rnacentral:rRNA from 1 species